GCCUGGCUGGCUCAGUCGGUGGAGCGUGCGACUCUUGAUCUCAGGGUUGUGAGUUCAAGCCCCACAUUGGGUG
rnacentral:tRNA from 1 species